ACUAGAGUGAGAUAGAGGCAAGCGGAAUUCCAUGUGUAGCGGUAAAAUGCGUAAAUAUAUGGAGGAACACCAGAGGCGUAGGCGGCUUGCUGGGUCUUUACUGACGCUGAGGCACGAAAGCGUGGGGAGCAAACAGGAUUAGAUACCCUGGUAGUCCACGCCGUAAACGAUGAGUACUAAGUGUCGGGUAAAACUGGUACUGAAGUUAACACAUUAAGUACUCCGCCUGAGUAGUACGUACGCAAGUAUGAAACUUAAAGGAAUUGACGGGACUCCGCACAAGCGGUGGAUCAUGUUGUUUAAUUCGAAGAUACACGAAAAACCUUACCAGGUCUUGACAUUUUCUUGCGAAGUUAUAGAAAUAUAAUGGAGGUUAUCAGGAAAACAGGUGGUGCAUGGUUGUCGUCAGCUCGUGUCGUGAGAUGUUAGGUUAAGUCCUAAAACGAGCGCAACCCUUGUCGUUAAUUGCCAGCAUGUAAUGAUGGGGACUUUAACGAGACUGCCAAUGAAAAAUUGGAGGAAGGUGGGGAUUACGUCAAAUCAUCAUGCCCCUUAUGAUCUGGGCUACAAACGUGAUACAAUGGUUGAUACAAAGAGUAGCUGAAACGCGAGUUCUUAGCCAAUCUCAAAAAAACAAUCUCAGUUCGGAUUGAAGUCUGCAACUCGACUUCAUGAAGUUGGAAUCGCUAGUAAUCGCGAAUCAGCA
rnacentral:rRNA from 1 species